rnacentral:pre_miRNA from 14 species
CAUGUGUGUGUACAUGUCUGUCAGUGUGCAUGGUGGCCAGAAGACAGACACACACACACACACACACACACACACACACACACACACACA